rnacentral:rRNA from 1 species
GGGUCAGUAGGUUGGUCGUGCCACCGGUACGUACUGGUCUCACCGAUUCCUCCUUCCUGAAGAACCGUAAUGCCAUAAAUUUGGUGUUGCGGGGAAACAGGACUGUUACUUUGAAAAAAUUAGAGUGUUUAAAGCAAGCUAACGCUUGAAUACAUUAGCAUGGAAUAAUGAAAUAGGACGAUCGAUCCUAUUUUGUUGGUUUCUAGGAUUGACGUA